CCUACGGGGGGCAGCAGUGGGGAAUAUUGCGCAAUGGGCGAAAGCCUGACGCAGCGACGCCGCGUGAGGGAUGAAGGUCUUCGGAUCGUAAACCUCUGUCAGCAGGGAAGAACGGUCACUGUGCUAAUCAGCAGUGAAUUGACGGUACCUGCAAAGGAAGCACCGGCUAACUCCGUGCCAGCAGCCGCGGUAAUACGGAGGGUGCGAGCGUUAAUCGGAAUUACUGGGCGUAAAGCGCUCGUAGGCGGUAGGUCAAGUCAAGGGUGAAAGCCCCGCGCUCAACGUGGGAACUGCCGUUGAAACGGGCAAACUGGAGUGUGUGAGAGGAUAGUGGAAUUCCAGGUGUAGGAGUGAAAUCCGUAGAUAUCUGGAGGAACAUCAGUGGCGAAGGCGACUAUCUGGCACAUAACUGACGCUGAGGAGCGAAAGCGUGGGUAGCAAACAGGAUUAGAUACCCCAGUAGUC
rnacentral:rRNA from 1 species